AUGCGCUCCCUCCAUGUCUCCUCCUGCGCCUCCGGUGGCCAGACGCCUCUUCCACUCCGGCCGAUAUGUUUGAAGAAGGGGCUAGAGACAAACUGUCCAAUCUGUUGUGACUUCCUAUUCACAUCAAGCAAGGAAGUUAGAGCUGUUCUUUCUGGUCACUCCAUGCAUUCAACUUGCUUGCAGGCAUACACUUUCAGUCACUACACUUGUACUAUCUACGGCAAAUCCUUCUGGGAUAUGGCGGUCAGACGGUGUGCAGCCACACCUGGUCACCAUCGAGUUUCAGGUAACCACGACAAGUCAACGAUCUUCCAUUGCCUUCCGCUCAAUUUUGUUUGGAUGGUGCGUGAUUCCUUUCAUCGAGUCUUCAAUAAACCAAAGAGUUACCAGAGUAGUUAA
rnacentral:rRNA from 1 species